GCUCAGGAUGAACGCUAGCUACAGGCUUAACACAUGCAAGUCGAGGGGCAUCAGGAAGAAAGCUUGCUUUCUUUGCUGGCGACCGGCGCACGGGUGAGUAACACGUAUCCAACCUGCCCUUUACUCGGGGAUAGCCUUUCGAAAGAAAGAUUAAUACCCGAUAGCAUAAUGAUUCCGCAUGGUUUCAUUAUUAAAGGAUUCCGGUAAAGGAUGGGGAUGCGUUCCAUUAGGUUGUUGGUGAGGUAACGGCCCACCAAGCCUUCGAUGGAUAGGGGUUCUGAGAGGAAGGUCCCCCACAUUGGAACUGAGACACGGUCCAAACUCCUACGGGAGGCAGCAGUGAGGAAUAUUGGUCAAUGGGCGCUAGCCUGAACCAGCCAAGUAGCGUGAAGGAUGAAGGCUCUAUGGGUCGUAAACUUCUUUUAUAUAAGAAUAAAGUGCAGUAUGUAUACUGUUUUGUAUGUAUUAUAUGAAUAAGGAUCGGCUAACUCCGUGCCAGCAGCCGCGGUAAUACGGAGGAUCCGAGCGUUAUCCGGAUUUAUUGGGUUUAAAGGGAGCGUAGGUGGACUGGUAAGUCAGUUGUGAAAGUUUGCGGCUCAACCGUAAAAUUGCAGUUGAUACUGUCAGUCUUGAGUACAGUAGAGGUGGGCGGAAUUCGUGGUGUAGCGGUGAAAUGCUUAGAUAUCACGAAGAACUCCGAUUGCGAAGGCAGCUCACUGGACUGCAACUGACACUGAUGCUCGAAAGUGUGGGUAUCAAACAGGAUUAGAUACCCUGGUAGUCCACACAGUAAACGAUGAAUACUCGCUGUUUGCGAUAUACAGUAAGCGGCCAAGCGAAAGCAUUAAGUAUUCCACCUGGGGAGUACGCCGGCAACGGUGAAACUCAAAGGAAUUGACGGGGGCCCGCACAAGCGGAGGAACAUGUGGUUUAAUUCGAUGAUACGCGAGGAACCUUACCCGGGCUUAAAUUGCAGUGGAAUGAUGUGGAAACAUGUCAGUGAGCAAUCACCGCUGUGAAGGUGCUGCAUGGUUGUCGUCAGCUCGUGCCGUGAGGUGUCGGCUUAAGUGCCAUAACGAGCGCAACCCUUAUCUUCAGUUACUAACAGGUCAUGCUGAGGACUCUGGAGAGACUGCCGUCGUAAGAUGUGAGGAAGGUGGGGAUGACGUCAAAUCAGCACGGCCCUUACGUCCGGGGCUACACACGUGUUACAAUGGGGGGUACAGAAGGCAGCUAGCGGGUGACCGUAUGCUAAUCCCAAAAGCCUCUCUCAGUUCGGAUCGAAGUCUGCAACCCGACUUCGUGAAGCUGGAUUCGCUAGUAAUCGCGCAUCAGCCACGGCGCGGUGAAUACGUUCCCGGGCCUUGUACACACCGCCCGUCAAGCCAUGGGAGCCGGGGGUACCUGAAGUACGUAACCGCAAGGAUCGUCCUAGGGUAAAACUGGUGA
rnacentral:rRNA from 1 species